UCCUAAUAAGUUCAAAAAGAAUAUUGAUUUUGUAAAUCAAAGGAUUUUUCAUAGGAA
rnacentral:tRNA from 1 species